UUGGAGGGCAAGUCUGGUGCCAGCAGCCGCGGUAAUUCCAGCUCCAAUAGCGUAUAUUAAGGUUGUUGCAGUUAAAAAGCUCGUAGUUGAAUUUCGGGGUUAGUAGGUUGGUCAUGCCACUGGUAUGUACUGGUCUCACUGAUUCCUCCUUCCUGAUGAGCCGUAAUGCCAUUAAUUUGGUGUUGCGAGGAAUCUGGACUGUUACUUUGAAAAAAUUAGAGUGUUUAAAGCAAGCUAACGCUUGAAUACAUUAGCAUGGAAUAAUGAAAUAGGACGUUCGAUCCUAUUUUGUUGGUUUCUAGGAUUGACGUAAUGAUUAAUAGGGAUAGUUGGGGGCAUUAGUAUUCAAUUGUCAGAGGUGAAAUUCUUGGAUUUAUUGAAGACUAACUACUGCGAAAGCAUUUGCCAGGAUGUUUUCAUUAAUCAAGAACGAAAGUUAGGGGAUCGAAGACGAUCAGAUACCGUCGUAGUCUUAACCAUAAACUAUGCCGACUAGGGAUCGGAUGAUGUUAAUUUUUUAAUGACUCAUUCGGCGCCUUACGGGAAAC
rnacentral:rRNA from 1 species